AUUAUAAAAUGCUGAAGUAACAUAUCAUUUUCCCUAAGGCUUACCUCUUUUAUUUGAUUUAAGGAAAAUUUCUUAUUUUCUGUGGGGGCUUAGUGCAUUGAUGUGGAGAAAUUCAUCCUUCUUGGUUUUUGUAUUCUUUUUUUUUUUUUUUUUUGAGACGGAGUUUCACUCUUGUUGCCCAGGCUGGAGUGCAGUGGCGUGGUCUCGGCUCACUGCAACCUGCGCCUCCUGGAUUCAAGCGAUUCUCUUGCCCCAGGUUUUUGUAUUCUUAAAGGCCAAAACAUAUGUCUGGAUGGCCUCAUGCUCAUCUGUGCACACCAUGGCAGAACCCAGUACAUUGUUUUGUUUACAUCCCCCCAAAAUAGUGAAAAAAAUGAAGCACCACCAUUUUUAUCUUGAGCACCUCUUCACUGUUCUUAACGCAUUUGGGCGGUAGCAGAAAAGAUCAUUCCCCAAAACCUUGCUAAGCACGUUGUCCAGGUGGGGAGAGUAUUACUGCUAUCCCCACCAACACUUGUUGUUUUUUGUUUUUUUGUGAAUAGCCAUCCUGACAGAUAUGAGAUGAUGUCUUGUGGCUUUGAUUUGCAUUGAAACAGGUUGCAAUAUACUGUGAGAUCCUUUAGUUUGUAAAACACAUCUGGAUAACCUCGUUUCACUGAGAUGGUAAAUCUUUUUCAGUAGGCUAUCUUUCCACAUGAGGAAGAUUAAGAACUACGUGAAAAUGUUUAAGAGAAUCAAAGCCAAGAUAUAAUAUUUUGUAUUAAAAAGAAUCCCUCUCUACUUGGUACUUUAUGUUAUAAUGUUUAAGAUCAUUUGAGGAAUUACAAUGACAGCCUUUUAACUUUAAUUUAUGUACAAAUUAAUAAUCUGUUUAGAUUAAUGGCUUCUGUUAUUCUCUGUAUCACAGUAACACAAAUGCACAUCUCCACAUACAAUUUUUUCUCAAAGUUUUAUACAAUCAACUGCCUAUUUGACAUCUCCACUGGAAUGUCUAAACAGAAACCUUACGUGUUAGGUGUCCAAAACCCAGUCCUGACUUUCCCCCUAAACCUGCAGCCUUCCCCAUUUCAGUUGAUGACAAGUUCAUUCUUCUCUAUUUAUAGCAGCAUGAUUUAUAAUCCUUUGGGUAUAUACCCAGUAAUGGGAUGGCUGGGUCAAAUGCUAUUUCUAGUUCUAGAUCCUUGAGGAUUCGCCACACUGUCUUCCACAAUGGUUGUACUAGUUUACAGUCCCACCAACAGUGUAAAAGUGUUCCUAUUUCUCCACAUCCUCUCCAGCACCUGUGGUUUCCUGACUUUUUAAUGAUCACCAUUCUAACUGGUGUGAGAUGGUAUCUCAUUGUGGUUUUGAUUUGCAUUUCUCUGAUGGCCAGUGAUGGUGAGCAUUUUUUCAUAUGUCUGUUGGCUGCAUAAAUGUCUUCUUUUGCGAAGUGUCUGUUCAUAUC
rnacentral:lncRNA from 1 species